rnacentral:rRNA from 1 species
UACGUAGGGUGCGAGCGUUGUCCGGAAUUAUUGGGCGUAAAGAGCUUGUAGGCGGUUUGUCGCGUCUGCUGUGAAAUCCCGAGGCUCAACCUCGGGCCUGCAGUGGGUACGGGCAGACUAGAGUGCGGUAGGGGAGAUUGGAAUUCCUGGUGUAGCGGUGGAAUGCGCAGAUAUCAGGAGGAACACCGAUGGCGAAGGCAGAUCUCUGGGCCGUAACUGACGCUGAGGAGCGAAAGCGUGGGGAGCGAACAGG